rnacentral:tRNA from 1 species
GCCUUCGUGGUGUAGUGGUUCUGCACGCUGGGCCAGUAUUCCAGAUGUCCUUGGUUCGAUUCCCGGCGAAGGCG